AUUGAACGCUGGCGGCAGGCCUAACACAUGCAAGUCGAGCGGAUGAAGGGAGCUUGCUCCUGGAUUCAGCGGCGGACGGGUGAGUAAUGCCUAGGAAUCUGCUUGGUAGUGGGGGAUAACGUCCGGAAACGGGCGCUAAUACCGCAUACGUCCUGAGGGAGAAAGUGGGGGAUCUUCGGGCCUCACGCUAUCAGAUGAGCCUAGGUCGGAUUAGCUAGUUGGUGGGGUAACGGCCUACCAAGGCGACGAUCCGUAACUGGUCUGAGAGGAUGAUCAGUCACACUGGAACUGAGACACGGACCAGACUCCUACGGGAGGCAGCAGUGGGGAAUAUUGGACAAUGGGCGAAAGCCUGAUCCAGCCAUGCCGAGUGUGUGAAGAAGGUCUUCGGAUUGUAAAGCGCUUUAAGUUGGGAGGAAGGGCAGUAAGUUAAUACCUAGCUGUUUUGACGGUACCAACAGAAUAAGCACCGGCUAACUUCGUG
rnacentral:rRNA from 1 species